CUGCUUUGUUUACCCAAGCAAGCCUGGGCAAUGGCGGGCGCCCCUCCCCCAGCCUUGCUGCGGCCUUGCAGUUUGAUCUCAGACUGCUGUGCUAGCAAUCAGCGAGACUCCGUGGGCGUAGGACCCUCCUAGCCAGGUGCAAGAUAUAAUCUCGCGGUGCGCCGUUUUUUAAGCCGGUCCGAAAGCGCAAUAUUCGGGUGGGAGAGACCCGAUUUUCCAGUGAGAUGAACCCAGUACCUCAGAUGGAAAUGCAGAAAUCACCCGUCUUCUGCGUCGCUCACGCUGGGAGCUGUAGACCGGAGCUGUUGCUAUUCGGCCAUCUUGGCUCCUCUCCUGCACUGCAAGAAUGGACUAAUACGCUAUGUGAAGACAAAGGGGAUGUCUGCAAGCCAGGACGAGUGCGUCUACCAGAAACUGAGUUCUGCUGGACUUUGAUCUAGGACAUCCAGCCUCCAGAAUGGAAUGUGCCAUAUGUGGAGACCUGCAUGGAAAGGAACUGAGGAUGCUCUCUCACUAAAAGCUAGAAGGAACUGAGGCCCUCAGUCAACAGUCUACAAGACACUGAAUCUUGCCAGCAGCCAAGCAGUGAGCUUGAAAGCAGAUCUAUCAUCAGCUGAACCUUCAGAUGAGACCGCAGCCUAAGCAGAUACCUUGGUUGCAGCCAUGUGAGACAACCUGAAACAGAGGGCACAGCUAAGCCUCAGCCAGGUUCAUGACCCUCUGAGGAAACUGUGAGAAAGCAAAUGUCAUUUUAAGCUAUUUAAUUUUGGAGGUAGUUUAUUACACAACAAUAAAUAACUAUUAUAAUUAUCUUGAGGAUUUAUUUCCUGGGGAGAAUACAUGGAAUUGCAUAUAUAGGUCCUCAUAUGCAGAAUACUGGUACCCUAGAGAUGUUCACCCCAGAGAUGUUUUAGGAACCUGUGAAUAUGUUACAUUAAAUGGCAAAGUUUUCCUGGAUGGUUUAAGUUUAAGAUGGAAAAGUUUUACUGGAUUAUCCAGUGGGUCCAAUCUAGUAACAUGAGUCCUUAAAAAUGGAGAAUAUUUUUUGGCCAUGAUCAGAGAGACAUGUGAUGAUGGAAAAAGUGUCAGAGAUGCAAUGUGAGGGGACUAAAACUGCUGUUGCUGACUUUAAAGAUGGAGAGAGGGGAACCCGAGUCAAGGAAUGCAAAUGGCCUCUGGAAGCUGGAAAAAGCAAGAAAUGGAUUCUCCUUUAGAGCCUGUGGAAUAAAAUGCAGUCAUGCUGACACCUUGAUUUUACCUCAGUGAGACCAAUACUGGAGUAUGACCUUCGGAGCUGAAUAAAAUUAUACGUACACAUCUUAAUUUCUUGGGAUUUGAUUACUUCUUCUGCUUUGAAAUUAGACCAAGUUUAGCCUGCCUUUGCUAUUUUGGCGUAUCUCCAAUUCUUCAUGAUUUUCUCAUUGUUGCCUCCAUAUGAUGCAAAAUAUCCAACCUAGCCCUGACAUGAAAACUUAAUUGAAAGUAUCCAACAGUGGCGCAAAGGCCACAUAAGGACAGUGAGAAGGCAGCCACCUGCAAGCCAGGAAGAAAGGUCUCACCAGAUACCAACCCUGCCAGCAUGUUGAUCUUGGACUUCCAGCCUCCAAAACUGGCCUUCUGCUCACAUGGGCUUCCGUGCACCUGCUUCAGGAGACAGCAACACUUGCGCCCGCACCGCGGCAGGCUCCCAUCACCUGGUGGAUAUGCCGCGCCGAGUCUCAUCACACCUUAGUGAAGGAACACAUGGACCCAUAUGUUAGCGGAUGUAUUUACAUCGUUUUAUACAGAAAGGGGAA
rnacentral:lncRNA from 10 species